rnacentral:rRNA from 1 species
CCUACGGGUGGCAGCAGUGGGGAAUAUUUGGCAAUGGGCGCGAGCCUUACCCAGCAAUACCGCGUGAGUGAAGACUGUCUUCGGAUUGUAAAGCUCUUUGUUCAGGGACGUACAGAUGACGGUACCUGAAUAACAAGCCCCGGCUAACUACGUGCCAGCAGCCGCGGUAAAACGUAGGGGGCGAGCGUUGUCCCGAAUGACUGGGCGUAAAGGGUGCGUAGGCGGCAUAAUAAGUUACAAGUGAAAUACCCAGAGCUUAACUCGGGUGCUGCUUCUAAGACUGGUGAGCUUGAGUGUGGGAGAGGUUAAUGGAAGUCCUAGUGUAGCGGUGGAAUGCGUAGAUAUUAGGAGGAACACCAGAGGCGAAGGCGAUUAACUGGACCGUAACUGACGCUGAGGCACGAAAGUGUGGGUAGCAAACAGGAUUAGAUACCCCAGUAGUC